ACGAACGCUGGCGGCGUGCUUAACACAUGCAAGUCGAACGAAAGGACGGGAAGAGCUUGCNCUUUCCGGAAUUGAGUGGCAAACGGGUGAGUAACACGUAAACAACCUGCCUUCAGGAUGGGGACAACAGACGGAAACGACUGCUAAUACCGAAUAAGUUCCAAGAGCCGCAUGGCCCAUGGAAGAAAAGGUGGCCUCUACCUGUAAGCUAUCGCCUGAAGAGGGGUUUGCGUCUGAUUAGCUGGUUGGAGGGGGUAACGGCCCACCAAGGCGACGAUCAGUAGCCGGUCUGAGAGGAUGAACGGCCACACUGGAACUGAGACACGGUCCAGACUCCUACGGGAGGCAGCAGUGGGGAAUCUUCCGCAAUGGGCGAAAGCCUGACGGAGCAACGCCGCGUGAGUGAUGACGGCCUUCGGGUUGUAAAACUCUGUGAUCCGGGACGAAAAGGCAGAGUGCGAAGAACAAACUGCAUUGACGGUACCGGAAAAGCAAGCCACGGCUAACUACGUG
rnacentral:rRNA from 1 species